AACGUACGCUGGCGGCAUGCCUAACACAUGCAAGUCGAACGAGAUCUUCGGGUCUAGUGGCGCACGGGUGCGUAACGCGUGGGAAUCUGCCCUUUGGUUCGGAAUAACAGUUGGAAACGACUGCUAAUACCGGAUGAUGACGAAAGUCCAAAGAUUUAUCGCCAGAGGAUGAGCCCGCGUAGGAUUAGCUAGUUGAUGUGGUAAAGGCGCACCAAGGCGACGAUCCUUAGCUGGUCUGAGAGGAUGAUCAGCCACACUGGGACUGAGACACGGACCAGACUCCUACGGGAGGCAGCAGUGGGGAAUAUUGGACAAUGGGCGAAAGCCUGAUCCAGCAAUGCCGCGUGAGUGUUGAAGGCCUUAGGGUUGUAAAGCUCUUUUACCCGGGAUGAUAAUGACAGUACCGGGAGAAUAAGCUCCGGCUAACUCCGUGCCAGCCGCCGCCGUAACAC
rnacentral:rRNA from 1 species